AUGGUUCCUCCAGAGCCUCCGGAACCAGCAACAGAAGACAAGGAGAAGGAAAGAGUCGCAACCGGUGCUCCCUUCACGUGGAUUACAUGUCACUUUGGUACUGGCCCUGAGGAAGCUAAUGAGGAUGAGGUCAAGACAUAUGCUCAUGUGUACAUGUGGUACGUUAUAUCCAGGACUAUGUUUGCUGAUGGCACAGGCAAGAAUGCUCCAUGGAUGUGGCUGAAGGCGUUGACCGUCUUCGAUAGCAAAUGGAGUUGGGUUCGGCGACACUGGCUUACUUGUAUAGAUAGGUAUGAAGUUGUUUCUUUUUCACUUCAUUGCUACAUUAUCAAUGUGAUCUUGCUGUUAAUCCAACCAUGUUCCCUUUUAUGUGCAGUUGGACGAAGCCUGUUGUAG
rnacentral:rRNA from 1 species